rnacentral:rRNA from 1 species
AACGAACGCUGGCGGCGUGCCUCAUACAUGCAAGUCGUACGCGAAUCCUGCCGCAAGGCAGGGUUUGAGUGGCAAACGGGUGCGUAACACGUAGGUAAUCUUCCUUUGAGUUGGGGAUAAACCCUCGAAAGGGGGUCUAAUACCGAAUAACACUUCGGGCCGGCAUCGGCCUGAAAUUAAAGAUGGCCUCUGCUUGCAAGCUAUCGCUCAAAGAUGAGCCUGCGGCCGAUUAGAGUUGGCGGGAUAAAAGCCCACCAAGACUUCGAUCGGUAGCCGGUCUGAGAGGAUGUCCGGCCACACUGGGACUGAGAUACGGCCAGACUCCUACGGAGGCAGCAGUAGGGAAUAUUGCGCAAUGGCCGCAAGGCUGACGCAGCAACGCCGCGUGGGGGA